ensembl:lncRNA
GAUUAAUAACAAAUUACCAAAGGGUGAUGGGUAACCGUUGGCAGUCUAACUGCUGGGACUUUUAGUGAACACUUUUAGAGAGAAAGGAUUUGCAGUGGAUGACCUCAUGACUUUAUUUGGACUAGGUUCACCUGAUUAAUUCACCAGCGGGCGGCUGAGUGGGCGGAGUCUGCACACCAUUUAAAGGUUUUUGAGCUUCUUUGACAGAUGCCCCAAACGGUUCAAGGGUUGUACAAACCUUCCUUGACUGUAUUGCUAAUGCAAGAAGAACAGUGCAAUACUACAGUGUUUACAAAUGUAAUGACUCAACAAAUUGAUUUGCCAGAUUUUUCCCCCCUAAUUUUUACAGUUUUGUUUGUUUGUUUGUUUGUUUGUUUGUUUGUUUGUUUGUUUGUUUGUUUGUUUGUUUGUUUGUUUGUUUGUUUGUUUGUUUGUUUGUUUGUUUGUUUGUUUGUUUGUUUGUUUGUUUUUUAGCUCUGCCACUUUUUGGUGUGUCCACUUUUUUUUAAGGAUACACUUUGUUCCAUGCUAAAAUAUACCAAGUUUUCUUUUUGUAUUUUUAAUAUAUUCAGCUAAAAAAAUAGAACAAAUGAUAUGUUUUUAACAUCUCUAGUAACAGCAUCUUUGUUACUAGAGAUGCCCAAAGAUACCAUUUAAAUUGCUUUUUUGUUAAGUUGUCUUUUUUUUAUCUAUACACAACAAUGGUUCAUCCCUUGAGUGUGGUAAUGAUAAAAAUAAAGACUAGACAGAAAAUGAGUGAAAAAGACAGUCAAAGUGUCCAAAUAAAAAUGAUCAAAAACCUGGAGGACUAAUACUCAACAGCACUUUAAAAAAGUACACAAAAUUCUUGCGCUUUGGAAGCAAAAUACAACACAGUACUGUAUUUGUGUUAAGAGUACGGUGGGUUUAAGCAACCACACGCUUUGUUUUGAUGGGGUGAAAUAAUGAUAUAGGAAGUAAAUUUUCUCAAUACUCUAAUCUCAUUACCCUUUCUUUUCCUUUACAUAAAGCC